UGGGAGUCAGCCGAACUGAACUCGUAGAAGACAUAUUUCUGUGUACAUCUGCAGAGGAUGAAGCUAUACAGGUUCUGGCUUCAGAGAGGGAUUUGCAACGUGAGAAACUAGAAGCAGUAAACACCAGAACAUGAGACCAGAAAGGUACCCACUCAUCUACCCAUUCUUAAUGCGUUGUAAAUGAGCCACCAGUAAAAGAGCCACCACAUUUGAAGUGAAAAUAUGAACAUUAUUUAAUAACUGAUCCUCUGUAAUAAACAAUUUGAAAAUAUUU